CUGAAUUGGACUGCACUCUUCUGGUUGCAAAUAAUAGAAAGUCAACUUGAACUAGCAAGGCAAAAAGUGAGGUUGGACACUCCUGAUUCCUCUGGAGCUUUGAGGAUGCCUGGGAGAACUGCCUUCGCACUCUGAUCUAAGCUCCUACUGCUCCUGUGUAGAGAUGGAUAUGACUGCUCAGAAGGUAUGGACAGCUUCC